UGAAUCCUAAGUUGACUUUCUCAAGUAUCUGUAAGGGAAAAAGAACUGGAAGCCAAAGUCAAGCACUAGGAAUUCAGGGUUCAAGCUACGAUGUCUGACAUUGAAAAAGAAAAUAUUCUUCAUGCCAACGCUAAAUUCCAUUGCCAUGAAAUACAAGCCGAACUAAAGACGGUUAAUUGGAAGGCCUCUAAAGACGAAGAACGUCGAAUAGCCCUCCUAGCCAAUCAUGAAGAAAUGAAGAAGGGGAAUGAUCAACUAAAGAAGGGGAAUAUGGCACUGCAUAAUCAAGUCAAAA
rnacentral:lncRNA from 1 species